rnacentral:rRNA from 1 species
UACAGAGGUCUCAAGCGUUGUUCGGAUUCAUUGGGCGUAAAGGGUGCGUAGGUGGCGCCGUAAGUCGGGUGUGAAAUUUCGGAGCUUAACUCCGAAACUGCAUUCGAUACUGCGGUGCUUGAGGACUGGAGAGGAGACUGGAAUUCAUGGUGUAGCAGUGAAAUGCGUAGAGAUCAUGAGGAAGACCAGUGGCGAAGGCGGGUCUCUGGACAGUUCCUGACACUGAGGCACGAAGGCCAGGGGGAGCAAACGGG